UACGUAGGGUGCAGGCGUUAAUCGGAAUUACUGGGCGUAAAGCGUGCGCAGGCGGUUUGCUAAGACAGGUGUGAAAUCCCCGGGCUUAACCUGGGAACUGCGCUUGUAACUAGCAGGCUAGAGUGUGGCAGAGGGGGGUGGAAUUCCAGGUGUAGCAGUGAAAUGCGUAGAUAUCUGGAGGAACACCGAUGGCGAAGGCAGCCCCCUGGGUUAACACUGACGCUCAUGCACGAAAGCGUGGGGAGCAAACAGG
rnacentral:rRNA from 1 species